rnacentral:rRNA from 1 species
AGCAGCCGCGGUAAUUCCAGCUCCAAUAGCGUAUAUUAAAGUUGUUGCAGUUAAAAAGCUCGUAGUUGAAUUUCGGGACCAAUCUGCCGGUCGUGCCUCCGGUACGCACUGGUUUUAUUGGUUUCUCCCUUCUGACGAACCAUGAUGUCAUUAAUUUGGUGUCAUGGGGAAUCAGGACUGUUACUUUGAAAAAAUUAGAGUGUUUAUAGCAGGCUCACGCUUGAAUACAUUAGCAUGGAAUAAUGAAAUAGGACGUUUGACCCUAUUUUGUUGGUUUCUAGGAUCGACGUAAUGAUUAAUAGGGAUAGUUGGGGGCAUUAGUAUUCAAUUGUCAGAGGCGAAAUUCUUGGAUUUAUUGAAGACUAACUACUGCGAAAGCAUUUGCCAAGGAUGUUUUCAUUAAUCAAGAACGAAAGUUAGGGGAUCGAAGACGAUCAGAUACCGUCGUAGUCUUAACCAUAAACUAUGCCGACUAGGGAUCGGAUGAUGUUAAUUUUUUAAUGACUCAUUCGGCGCCUUA